rnacentral:rRNA from 1 species
GACGAACGCUGGCGGCGUGCUUAACACAUGCAAGUCGAACGGAAAGGCGCUGCGUUUGUGGGGUGCUCGAGUGGCGAACGGGGGAGUGACACGUGAGUAACCUCCCCUUGACUGUGUGAUAAAUUCAGGAGACUGGGGCUAUUACCGGAGAUGAUCUCCUGCUGCAUGGUGUGGAUAGGAAAAAGUCGGCGGUGCGGUCUGGACUCGCGGCUUAUCAGCUGGUUUGUGGGGUAGUGGCGUACGAGGGCUUUGACGGGUAGCCGGCCUGAGAGGGUGAACGGCCACAUUGCGACUGAGAUACGGCCCAGACUCGUACGGGCGGCAGCAGUGGGGAAUCUUGCAGAAUGGGCGGAAGCCUGAUGCAACAACCCCGCGUGCGGGAUGACGGCCUUAGGGUUGUAAACAGAUUUCGCCUGUGACGAAGCGAGCGUGACGGUAAUGGGUCAAGAAGCACCGGCUAACUACGUG